GAUAUCAACAGCUUCCUGAGAUCAAAGCAACAACGAUGUCAUCAGAUGCCCACCUGCGAAAGCUAUAACGACAUGCUCCAGAGCCAAACCGUUUAUAUGACCGAUUAUAGACCUAUUUUAAGCUUGGGAAAUCAGUUUACUGAUACUUUUAACGGAGGGUGCUGCCGGGACAUGCCAUUGGGGUGCGGAGUUGCAGCCGGCUUUUUCUGCUUCUCUGAUCCGUGUCCUAUCAAUCCCUGGGAUAACGAUUGCCUCCCAAGCGUUGGCUGCCCUCCCCCCUGCACACCCAAUCACUGCUGCCUGCUACCACCUAGAACUCCGUGUUGCGAAGGUCAAUGUAACGACAUGUGCGGUGGCCGUUCCACCGGAAUAUAUGAAAUUGGCGGAAUUUGCAACGUGAGUCCCCAAUGUUGCUAUCAAAUUGGUCACCUUAGUCCCGGAUACUGCUGCAAUUGCCCAUGCGGGGCUCAGCCCGAUGCAUACUGCACGCAGCCAUCGUCAUACGGUCUAUGAGGUAAAUCAAGCCAACUCGUUCGAAAUACGGUUUGGAAUAAAUAAGUUUACAUUGACGGACAUGAGCGGGACAGAGCAGAAGACCACAAUCAAUAUGAAGUGAGAUCCUCGUGAUAAUAUAGAUACUAGUACAGAAAAUGAACGUUCCGGAUCUGAUGAAGAAAUCAUAAUUUGGGCCGAUAUAAGCUAUUUUAGAAUAUAAAUCAAUGAACAAUUAUUAAGAAGUUAGUAAAGCCAAAGCCUUAA